CUACCACAAACAACUAAACCGUAGCUCGUAGCUCCUCAUCCAGAUGCCUCUUGAACACCAGCAGAAGUACCUCUUCACAAGCUGUCCAUUUCUUAAACAUAGAAGCUGCCUCCCUCCAAUAGACAACCGCUGUUUCCUCCGGGAUUCAUAUUGAUAGUCUCCCUGUGAUCAGAUAGAGCUCCACGUUCUUCAGCAGGGGAGAAUGAACUUACACCUCUUCCUGCAGAACUGAAUCAUCCCUGCUUCUCUCUUCAGACAGCAGUCACAGUUCCAUUUCGACCCCAUUAUCACUGUAGACUCACAGAUGACAUUUUGCAGAGCUGUUCUGUCACUGUUGGGGCAUUAUCUCUUGUUGAUAGGAUGUAGAAGAACAGAGUUUGAAUGUAAAUGUCUGUUGCAGUUACUAUUCACUAGAGGUUUAUUUGGGAUGCAAAAAUUAAAAAUCAAUAUUUGUCAAAAGAUAAAGGAUAAAGUAUUAAAGUCAGCUUUUAAGGACCA
ensembl:lncRNA